rnacentral:lncRNA from 1 species
AAAACAAACAGGUGGACCAUUGUAAAUUUUCCUUAAAUAAAUAAAGAAACAAUGUGAGCGUAAUAUUGCCAUUAACACAUGACAUUGGACAUCCCUGUUUGAGAGCAAUUUGAGAAUCUGUGAGAAUUAAAGACAAUUCCUUUAAUACCUGCAAAUUUUACAUCGUUUUUACUUCUUCUUUUAUGAACUGGUAAUGAGCCCCCAGAUUCUAUUCAUAAGAGUUUGCUAGAAGAUCAUGGAGUCUCUCUAAAUACUAAUUCUCAUGACUCUUAUAUUCUUUUAUGUAGCUUCUCUUUUUUCCCUUAAAUAAAAUUUCGUAUACUGCUUUUCCUUAAACAUUAUACUAUGAUCUUCUAAUGCUAUAAUUAAAAAUCUAUUUAGGACUUGGGCCUUCUAACUCUAUUUAUGACGGGCAUUCAAAUCGGUUUGACUCGGAUUAAAUAGAAUUCGACAUUAACUUCAGUUUCGAUUCAGUUUGGGUUGAAGUUUUAAAUCCAAACACGGAUUGGGUUAACUGAAAAAUUAAAACACAUAUCCAUAUAAUCUAAUACAUAAAGCCCCAACUCCCAAACACACAUUUCUCAGCUGCCUCCUCGCCACUUUUCUUCCGUCACUGCCAAAUAUCUUCUUCUUUUCUUCUUCUUUUUUUUUUUUCCCUACUGCUGCUAAACUUGUUUUUCUUCUUCUUUUAUUCUACCACAACCAGAUAUUUCUUCUUCUUCCUCUUAUUCUUUUCUGAUCUCCCAUUAAUUAAUUGUGAGUAAUUUCUUUUUUAAUUGUUAUUUCAUUGUUUAAUUUUUUUGUUAAUUGUUAAUUUUUUUUGUUAGUUGUUAAACAUAAAAUUGUAUAUGUUAAUUAUUUUGUUUUUGAAUGAGAUUAUGAGAAUUGAACGGAAAUAAAAUUAGGACUUCUAAUCUAAAUUGAGCCCAAAUUUAUUACCCAAACCGAAUUAAAUUCAAUUUAGUUCAGGUUUAUAGUUCAAAUCUAAUUGUGUUUAAUUCUCGAAACCGAAACUUGAACAACCUGAAUCAAAAUCCAAUUUACCCGCGUCUAACUCUAUUAACAUACGACUCAAUGUAGUUUGAUAAGUAUCAGGGCCUUACUAAGUUACAUUAUAUGUUACUUGCGUUAAUUCAAAAUCAAAUUUUUUAUAUAAUUGAGUUGUUGUCUGUCAAAAGACUAAUGCUCAUGGGAAGCUACUUUUGGGUCAACUAGAAGUUACAUUAAGUGCCAAAUUUCAGCAUAAAUUGUAUUCACUGAGGCUAGAUCUUACAUUUUAAUAAGUAUUGCAUAUUAAUGUUAAAAAGUAAUGAUACAAUUAUAUAUAUAUAUCUGAUAUAACAUCAAAAGGGAAGGCAAAAACCCAGUCAAUCUCGAGUAUGGCAAUGGUCGGUUCCGUCCGCAGCAUGUAUUUUGAACACUUUACACUCGAGCCAAUCUUUUUUAUUUGGAAUUUAAAAAAAUAUAGAUUUUAUGUUUUAUAAAUUUAUAUAUGUAUAUUUCUAAUUUAUUUUAUGAUUUUAUGAUUUUUGAAUUACUAAAAUUGGGCUCCUAAAAAUGAACUUUAAAUAUUUAUAAUUUCAAAUAUAUAUAAUAGGUGGACCAAAUAAAUAUAAUUAUUUAAUAUUUUUCAUAAAGUCUGGAUUCCUAGUUGAACCUCAAGCUUAUCAAGUGAAGCCUGGGUUUGGUCUGGUCUCAUUCUCGAUCAUCACCCAGGUCCGGGCUAAUAGAUAUUUUUGACAUCACUAAAUCACAUGAGUUCUUGAAUGAAGAUAUUAUUUGACUCACAUGAUUUAUUUUUAUUUAAUUUUUUAUUCAACCAAUCAUAUAAUGUGACAUCAAUUUGUACAAGAAUUUUUAAAUGUUAUAUUACUUUAAUACUAAAUAGAAAUAUAGUAUUCUAUGAUAGAAAUAGGAUAUAGUCAUUCUUGACUUGAAAAUACUUUAGUAGAAAAGAAUAUUCAUCUUAAUAUUUUCUUAUAAAUAAAGGUGACUUAUUUAACAUUUUAAAUUCUUUGUAUCCAUUAACUACGGCGUAUAAUAAUACAACUACGGAAAUAUGUUAAUUUUGAUUAGGGCAGUCCUUUUGUUCUUUGCCAUUUUUUCAACAUAAGCUUUGUUGUUUGUUGUGUUUGCUACUGCUAUCUCUAGAGCAAUUCUUGCCAGAGUUUCCAGGUCUGAUAUUGAUGGAAUUCGGGGAUUGCGAUCCAGAGCUGAGACACAGUCUAUAUAAUUUUGGAUUUGUCUGCGAACACAAUCAACUAAUUUUGAUGCUGAUGAUUUCAGAAUUGUGACAUUUGUUGAGGAAAGGUAAUGAAGAAUUAAGAAGAAAGAAAUGGCUCCCGCUAGUUGCUUCAUGACAGCAUUACUGAAGGAAUCCAUUGCUAGUAAUUAAAAGUUAGCGUUUUUCUUUCUGUGAAGUUUAUACGAUUGGAUGAUCAUUACGAGGAUGAUUUACAGCUAAUGUUUUGCUAUUUUUGGGUGUCUUGAAAGAUGAAAAGGGAAUCCAAUGUCAUCCAAUAUCAUGACUCCGUACGAUUUACAACUAGGUCAUUAACACUUCAUAAACGUAUCAUUGAAUUUAAACUUCAAUUUAUAAGUUCUUAAGAGAAAAAAAAUCCACAAGAAGAUUUUUUUUAAUGAGAUUUUAUUUUUUAUUUAAAAAGUUACGUCAGCAUUGAAGGUUUCAAAAAACUCUUCAAAUAAAAUGAUAUUUCUCCCUUUUUCAAUAUUAAAGAGUAAACACUUCCUCUUCAAUUAUUGUUAUAUUAUUUUUGUAUAUCAUCGUUAUGAAAAACAGAGAAGUGCUAUUAUUAUUAUUUUUGUAGAAAAAGUUUUGAUUAAAAUAAUAUAAGUUUGUUUUUAUAUGAAGAGAGUUAUUUUUCUAUUUGCCAAUUGCUAUAUAGGUAAGCAAAUAAGCAUUAACAGUCAAAUUAAAAGAGUUUUGUUAAUGAUAUUCUAAUAUUUUUCAACACUCACUUUUUAGUUAAAAUAAUUAUCAAAUUAUUGUGUCAAAAGAAAUUAUAAAUUAUAACUUAUUAUUUUAAAGGUGAGGCUAUUUGAACCUGCCAAAUUAUUUUCUGGACCCGCUUUUACAUUAAUUUUUAUAUUACUAAAUUAUCCAUAAGGUAAUUACAAUUAAAGACAAACUAAUGUUUAUAAAUAAAAUUUUUUACUCUUUAAACCCAGUUAAUCUGUAUUCAUUACAUGUAAAAUCUUUUUUUGCCACCCAUUAACAUCAAUCAUAACUUUUACACUACGUUACUCUUGUAAAAUUAUCAAUCAAAUGUCAUGUUACGCAAUUUUUGUUUUAGCAAAUUCAGAAAAUGAAAACUUGUUCUUAUUUUUUUGAAAGCAAUUAUGGAGUCAGAGCACAGAUUUGAAUUUAAAAAAUCGAAGAGUAUCAACAAUCACAUAUGAACACAAAUUCAUAAUCUUUCAAUAAACAGGUAAUUAUAAUGUAUUUUGAUUUAAUUCCACUCUUGUCUGUCAACCAAAAUACCCAAGCAAUGAAGCACUUUAAAGUUUGUAUUUUUUUUAAAUACUGAUUACACAUUAGAUUAUUGUAUUACAUAGUAAUUUACAACUGCUAUAACAGUAGAUCAUUAUAUUAAUAUUUACAAUCAGAUAUAUAAUUAGAACUUACAUUAUUACAUUAAAUUUUAUGAAGUACAUAUCUAGAUAAAUAACACUCACAAAUGAGAAAUGUCUCUACUCCACUCACAUUUCGCAAUGGAGAAAUACUUGCAAAUAACUCCACACAAUCAUGCAUAAUACUUAAUUGAGGGAGUUUGAUGACUCGAAACUCUACCCUCACAAUCAUACUUAACUGUGAGAGUAGAGAUUCACCGCUAAGCCAAAGACCCAUUGAUACUUUGAAGUCUGCAUUGAGUAACAUAAAUUUUUUUUUUUUCAUGUUACAAUAGACAUAAUUUUAUAUUGAUCUUAAACCAUCCAGUUAUAGCAUAAUUAAAAAAAAAAAUCUUAUUCCCUUAACAUGGAACUAUGAUCUCCUAGGGUAAUAGACAAAAGAUAAGGCAAAGAAAUGAUAGUAAGAUGAAAACAGUUGGUGGGUGCAGAUAAUAAUUUAACCAAAAAAAGUGAUAAAUAAAAUGAGAGGAUAUGUAACAAUUGGACAUUGGAGGUUAUUUUUGGGUUUAUGGAGGGUUUGGAGAGUAAAAUUAAAAAUUCAGUGCCUUUAAUUUCAAUAAUGUAUAAAUUAAGAAAAUGGGUCUUACGAUAAAAACUGCCUGUUCAAAUAGUAUGGCCUUCAUUUUGAUUCACUAAUUUCAAAAAUUACAAAUGUAUCUCUUUUGUAACAAUAGUCAAAACUUAAACUAGUUUAUCUCUACUUCAUUUUUUUCCUUAAAUCAACUCUUAUCUUUUUCUUAGUCUUAACUAUAACAUUUAUCAAUUUUUACCUAUUAUUAUCAUUUAGAGAAUUAGAGUUAGUGGUUUUGAGAUUUGACUAAAAAAAGUCUAAUAAAUUCAAAGUGGCACAUAAACCUUUAAUGUUUAUUUUUACAUUAUGGGUAUUGAUGAUUUAAUAUUGUUUAGAUAAAAUAGGGUUGGAUUUAUUAAUUUUUGAACAAUUUCAUUUGUUAAAUACAAUAUUUACUUAAUGUAUCAUGACAAAUUUUGAUAUGAGAAGAGAUAGAGGGAGACAUAAUAAGGUCAAAUAAAUAAUUAAUUAAAUUAUAUUUCCACAAUAAAAUUUCAAUUAAAAAAAAGUGCAUUGAGGAAUUUAGUAGGUUCAAAUAGCAUCACCAGUUUAAUUAAUCAAGUUGAAAAUAGUUGAUAACCCCAUAAAUGUAGCUUCAAGUAACAAUAUGGUAAAAAGUAAUUUUCAACGAGUCAGAUUUCUUGUCCCAUCUUUGAUUAAAAAGAAAAAAAUUAAAAUUGAGAUAGUCGGUAUUAGGUAAAGAUGAAUUUGAUACAAGCAAUUAAAUUUGUGGAUUUUAAAAUUAUUUUUUUUGAAAUGGAAGGGCUUAUUUGAUAUUUUCCCAAGGAUUAUUAUUAGAGGUGUAAAAAAUACCCGCCCAAUCCGUACCCAAACCGAACUUGGGCGAUGUGAGCUAGAGAUGAAGUUGGGCCAGUCAUGAACAUCAAUUGAUAAACCUGAGACCUCGCCCGGAACUCAAAUUUUAUUGAAAAAUAUUAUAAAAUAUG